rnacentral:rRNA from 1 species
UACGAAGGGGGCUAGCGUUGCUCGGAAUCACUGGGCGUAAAGCGCACGUAGGCGGGUCGUUAAGUCAGGGGGGAAAUCCUGGAGCUCAACUCCAGAACUGCCCUUGAUACUGGCGAUCUCGAGUUCGGGAGAGGUGAGUGGAACUGCGAGUGUAGAGGUGAAAUUCGUAGAUAUUCGCAAGAACACCAGUGGCGAAGGCGGCUCACUGGCCCGAUACUGACGCUGAGGUGCGAAAGCGUGGGGAGCGAACAGG